rnacentral:lncRNA from 1 species
AAAGAAGCCCAAACAAUAAGAAGGAAGAGAGUUUUAGAUGUCUUUUGAACCCGACUCAGAUGCUACGAGAACUUCCAUUUUCAAGAAAUAAAAAAUUUAUAUAUAAAAUCGAAGAUAAACAGAGAUUUGCGGUCUCUCUUGUUCUUCCGAAUUUGCAUGUUCUCCUUGUUUUGAGAAAGCUCUUGUCUGGUAAGUGGACUGAAAUUAUUCUUGGCUCACGAUUCCGUACUUAUUGUUCUCUUUGUUUUCAACUCCAAUUUCAGUUUGAGUUUUGUUCAUUUCGUUUUUGGGUGCUUGACUUCCUCAUUGCUUAUUUCAGUUUGAGUUUGGUGAUCUUUUGCAAAUGGUUUGUUUGAAUUGGAACGGAAUGCCAUAUAAAUUUUCCAUUUUGAAUGCCCAUAUCUGGGUUACUUCUAUUUUGCAUUAAUUUCUUCUGUGAUUGGUUAUUAGAUUGUUGUUUCAUUUAGGAGAGGGAGCCAUAGCAUCCCUCCACCUUUUCGUAAUUAGCUGUGGGAGGACUUCAGGUGGGCUUAGCCUUGCUCAUCUUAGUGAGUGGAUCAGUUUUGAUAGAUUCAGUGUUUAUUUUAUUAGAAUUAUUUCCAUUAUCAGAUUUUAGUAUGUGAUCUUUCACUCAGAUUUAUAGCAUGUUCUUAUCAUAUUGCAAAUACCUGCAUGUCACUUCUAAGGGGGAGGGUGCUCAUGUACCGGUUUUGAAACUAGUACUGAUGAUAAGAUAUAUUUUAUUAUGUGACACAAUUGUUUCAUUUAAAAUUGUAUUUUCAUGUAAGCCAAAUAUGAAUCCUACAAGAUGAUUUUCGAAACCAGAACAUUUUUUUGCUUUUCCUUCGCAAUGGAAGUUCUGGACAAGUAUUGCUUAGAUUGUUGAUUUUGCCUCAAAAGGACAUUAACAUUGGUUAGAUUGUUGAUUUUGCUUUUUCCACUUUUUAAAUGAUUUUCCACUGUGAAUAAGGUGUGGAACACAGUAGACUACCUAGAAUGAAAUGAUCAUGCAAUUUGUGAGUGUCCACGUAUAUUUGCACACUUAGCUUCUGAUGACUGUUGGAGUAAUAGCUACACUAUGUAGGAUAAGGAACUAAAUGCUAGUCCGUAUUUAAAGGACCUUGAUAAUGUGCACUGUUAGACAUGGAUAGACAAACUAAAAUAAUGAGAAGUCUUCUAUCAGAGCUAGAGAAGCGUCGUAUAUGAGUACUUUGUCAGUGAAUUAAACACUCUACUGAGAGGAGCAAGUGUCCUCCAUGACAUUUGCAAUUACCUCAACAGUUUUCAUUUCCAAGGCAAUUUUAGUAUUUUCCUAUCUUUUUCUACCGUUUCUACAGAAAGAGAACCACUCAGUUUUACUUGGCUUCUGACUAAUCAUCCCCUAGAACUAACAUUGAAAGUAUGUUUUGGUCAAUUGCGUCUAAGAAAUUUGAAUGAGUAUCUAACUUGUUGUACGCUGUUCUGCUGACAGUGAGAUGGUAAUGUUUUAUGUCCCUGGAUAUGAGGAAGAGCUUUUCUCUGUUUCUCAGAUGAAAAGAUGAACAGUCUUUCUAUUUUUCAUGCAGAGGAAGUAGAAAUUAAACAGCAAUGUUCUAUGAGCAUGGUAGUCAUAUAAUUAUGGUCUGUUCGUAUGAUGGGCCAGUAACCUGGGAUUUAUAAAUGUAUAAGUUGCUUUCUUAGAUUUAGCCGCAUGUGCAUGAAGAUUGGUGCCUUGUUUCAGACUUAUCAUUAGCAAUCUUUUGAAGCAGCAUAUAACUUAUACUGUUAUUACACUUACUGUUAUGAUUAUGGUUGUAAUUGGUCAAAAAAUUUAAGAAACAGUGUUUAAGAAGGCUGCUGAGAUCAUAUGGUUUAAAGAUGCUGUGUGACUUCUUUUUAUUUUUUUAAUCUUAAUUUUUAACUUUUGUGUUGGUACUUGUGAUUUUUCCAAAUCCUUAGGACUUUUCAGUUAUUCGCAUUAGUCUUUGUGUAAUCUUAAAAGCCUAGACGCAGAAAAUUAUAAGUGAAUUACUAAUCCACCAACGUGUUUGCUCCAUUCACAUAUUGCUAUAUUAGAAAACUGUGGCUCGAUGCAGCCUGCAAAACUCUUAUAUGAUUGUCUUCUUUUUUUAUGAACUUUAACAUGACUUGUUUGUUUAGAUAGUCAGAAAGGGAAAAAGAAAAAGGGAAAUAAAGGUUGCGCCGUUGUUUUUUCACUGAUUAAAUUUAUGUGCCAUCAACUGACUGCAUUUUCUGAAGCUGGCCAGGUUCUCCAAACAUGGGAAACAAGCCUGUGAAGCAAGAAAGCGAAGAAAUUUUCUUGAAAGUUGUUCCUCCGUUGGACCGUACAUAUGUUAGGUGGCUUGCUCGAGAUCUUGAGAGGAUUCACGGCUUUACACCAGCUAAACCUCGUGCUGUGAAGCCCCCAGAUCAUUAUAUUGAGUACAUGCAUCUGAAUGGAUGGUUGGAUGUGGACUUGGCUGAUCCUGAUCUAGCCCAUUUAUUCAAGUAGAUAGUGAAGGUGAUGUACUUAAAAGAAAUAUUUGGGGGGAAAAAAGGAUUUCCUUUGAACUAAAUCAUUGUUUAGUAUUACUAGAUUGGAAUUUGAGUACAUUUCAUGAGUUGUGAGAUACCACAAAUUUAUAUUUGAAUGAAGCAUCUCAAACCUCCGAUUGAUGAAAAUUAGAGUUUGG